rnacentral:rRNA from 1 species
AACGAACGCUGGCGGCAUGCCUAACACAUGCAAGUCGAACGCGACCUUCGGGUCUAGUGGCGCACGGGUGCGUAACGCGUGGGAACCUGCCCUUAGGUUCGGAAUAACCCCCCGAAAGGGGUGCUAAUACCGGAAAAUGUCUUCGGACCAAAGAUUUAUCGCCUUUGGAUGGGCCCGCGUUGUAUUAGCUAGUUGGUAGGGUAAAAGCCUACCAAGGCGACGAUCCAUAGCUGGUAUGAGAGGAUGAUCAGCCACACUGGGACUGAGACACGGCCCAGACUCCUACGGGAGGGAGCAGUGGGGAAUAUUGGACAAUGGGCGGAAGCCUGAUCCAGCAAUGCCGCGUGAGUGAUGAAGGCCGUAGGGUUGUGAAGCUCUUUUACCCGGGAUGAUAAUGACGGUACCGGGAGAAUAAGCUCCGGCUAACUCCGUG